GACGAACCGUGCGAACGUUGUUCGGAAUCACUGGGCAUAAAGGGCGCGUAGGCGGCUUUUCAAGUCAGGGGUGAAAUCCGGCAGCUCAACUGUCGAAGUGCCUUUGAUACUGGGAAGCUCGAGGGAGGUAGGGGUGUGUGGAACUUCCGGUGGAGCGGUGAGAUGCGUUGAUAUCGGAAGGAACGCCGGUGGCGAAAGCGACGCACUGGACCUCUUCUGACGCUGAGGCGCGAAAGCCAGGGGAGCAAACGGG
rnacentral:rRNA from 1 species